AUUGAACGCUGGCGGCAGGCUUAACACAUGCAAGUCGAGCGGGGAAGGGUAGCUUGCUACCUGACCUAGCGGCGGACGGGUGAGUAAUGCUUAGGAAUCUGCCUAUUAGUGGGGGACAACAUUCCGAAAGGAAUGCUAAUACCGCAUACGCCCUACGGGGGAAAGCAGGGGAUCUUCGGACCUUGCGCUAAUAGAUGAGCCUAAGUCAGAUUAGCUAGUUGGUGGGGUAAAGGCCUACCAAGGCGACGAUCUGUAGCGGGUCUGAGAGGAUGAUCCGCCACACUGGGACUGAGACACGGCCCAGACUCCUACGGGAGGCAGCAGUGGGGAAUAUUGGACAAUGGGCGAAAGCCUGAUCCAGCCAUGCCGCGUGUGUGAAGAAGGCCUUUUGGUUGUAAAGCACUUUAAGCGAGGAGGAGGCUACCGAGAUUAAUACUCUUGGAUAGUGGACGUUACUCGCAGAAUAAGCACCGGCUAACUCUGUGCCAGCAGCCGCGGUAAUACAGAGGGUGCGAGCGUUAAUCGGAUUUACUGGGCGUAAAGCGUGCGUAGGCGGCUUUUUAAGUCGGAUGUGAAAUCCCUGAGCUUAACUUAGGAAUUGCAUUCGAUACUGGGAAGCUAGAGUAUGGGAGAGGAUGGUAGAAUUCCAGGUGUAGCGGUGAAAUGCGUAGAGAUCUGGAGGAAUACC
rnacentral:rRNA from 1 species